GAGGGUUUAGCUCAGUGGUGGGAGCACCUGCUUGGCAAGCAUGAGAUCGUGAGUUCAAUCCCCA
rnacentral:tRNA from 1 species